rnacentral:rRNA from 1 species
GACCCCGCACAAGCGGUGGAGUAUGUGGUUUUAAAUUCGAUGCAACACGAAGAACCUUACCAGGGUUUGAAAUCAUUUCAAAACUCCUUGAAAGAGAGCCUCCUUCGGGAUGAAAUGACAGGUGGUGCAUGGCUGUCGUCAGCUCGUGUUGUGAAAUGUCGAGUUAAGUCUCGUAACGAGCGCAACCCAUGUCUCUUGUUGCUCACUGAGUGCUUAAGAGAGACUGCCGACCAACAUCGGAGGAAGGUGUGGAUGAUGUCAAGUCAGCAUGCCCCCUUUACAUCCUGGGGCUACACACGUACUACAAUGGUAGGGACAAUGAGCUGCGAUCCUGCGAAGGCUAGCC